rnacentral:rRNA from 1 species
AGAGUUUGAUCAUGGCUCAGAUUGAACGCUGGCGGCAGGCCUAACACAUGCAAGUCGAGCGGUAGCACAGAGAGCUUGCUCUCGGGUGACGAGCGGCGGACGGGUGAGUAAUGUCUGGGAAACUGCCUGAUGGAGGGGGAUAACUACUGGAAACGGUAGCUAAUACCGCAUAAUGUCGCAAGACCAAAGUGGGGGACCUUCGGGCCUCAUGCCAUCAGAUGUGCCCAGAUGGGAUUAGCUAGUAGGUGGGGUAACGGCUCACCUAGGCGACGAUCCCUAGCUGGUCUGAGAGGAUGACCAGCCACACUGGAACUGAGACACGGUCCAGACUCCUACGGGAGGCAGCAGUGGGGAAUAUUGCACAAUGGGCGCAAGCCUGAUGCAGCCAUGCCGCGUGUGUGAAGAAGGCCUUCGGGUUGUAAAGCACUUUCAGCGGGGAGGAAGGCGNNNNNCGAUUGACGUUACCCGCAGAAGAAGCACCGGCUAACUCCGUGCCAGCAGCCGCGGUAAUACGGAGGGUGCAAGCGUUAAUCGGAAUUACUGGGCGUAAAGCGCACGCAGGCGGUCUGUCAAGUCGGAUGUGAAAUCCCCGGGCUCAACCUGGGAACUGCAUUCGAAACUGGCAGGCUAGAGUCUUGUAGAGGGGGGUAGAAUUCCAGGUGUAGCGGUGAAAUGCGUAGAGAUCUGGAGGAAUACCGGUGGCGAAGGCGGCCCCCUGGACAAAGACUGACGCUCAGGUGCGAAAGCGUGGGGAGCAAACAGGAUUAGAUACCCUGGUAGUCCACGCCGUAAACGAUGUCGAUUUGGAGGUUGUGCCCUUGAGGCGUGGCUUCCGGAGCUAACGCGUUAAAUCGACCGCCUGGGGAGUACGGCCGCAAGGUUAAAACUCAAAUGAAUUGACGGGGGCCCGCACAAGCGGUGGAGCAUGUGGUUUAAUUCGAUGCAACGCGAAGAACCUUACCUGGUCUUGACAUCCACAGAACUUUCCAGAGAUGGAUUGGUGCCUUCGGGAACUGUGAGACAGGUGCUGCAUGGCUGUCGUCAGCUCGUGUUGUGAAAUGUUGGGUUAAGUCCCGCAACGAGCGCAACCCUUAUCCUUUGUUGCCAGCGGUNCGGCCGGGAACUCAAAGGAGACUGCCAGUGAUAAACUGGAGGAAGGUGGGGAUGACGUCAAGUCAUCAUGGCCCUUACGACCAGGGCUACACACGUGCUACAAUGGCAUAUACAAAGAGAAGCGACCUCGCGAGAGCAAGCGGACCUCAUAAAGUAUGUCGUAGUCCGGAUUGGAGUCUGCAACUCGACUCCAUGAAGUCGGAAUCGCUAGUAAUCGUAGAUCAGAAUGCUACGGUGAAUACGUUCCCGGGCCUUGUACACACCGCCCGUCACACCAUGGGAGUGGGUUGCAAAAGAAGUAGGUAGCUUAACCUUCGGGAGGGCGCUUACCACUUUGUGAUUCAUGACUGGGGUGAAGUCGUAACAAGGUAACCGUAGGGGAACCUGCGGUUGGAUCACCU